CUGACACAGGGAGGUAGUGACAAUAAAUAACUAGACCGGGCUUUUAUAGUCUAGUCAUAGGAAUGAGAGUAAUUUAAAUCCCUUAUCGAGGAUCAAUUGGAGGGCAAGUCUGGUGCCAGCAGCCGCGGUAAUUCCAGCUCCAAUAGCGUAUACUAAAGUUGUUGCAGUUAAAAAGCUCGUAGUUGGAUUUCUGGUCGAGGCAGCCGGUCGGCAUCAAGUAUGUUUGUACAUGGCGCUUCGUCCAUUUUUGUAGAAGCUGCGUCUGUCAUUCACUUGUCGGGCGUAGGGUCUGCAUCAUUUACUGUGAGCAAAAUAGAGUGUUCAAAGCAGGCUUAGGCCAUGAAUACAUUAGCAUGGAAUAAUAAGAUAAGACCUUGGUCUAUUUUGUUGGUUAGCAUUCCGGGGUAAUGAUUAAUAGGGAUAGUUGGGGGUAUUCGUAUUCAAAUGUCAGAGGUGAAAUUCUUGGAUUUUUUGAAGACGAACUACUGCGAAAGCA
rnacentral:rRNA from 1 species